UGACCUCAAAUCAGGUAGGACUACCCGCUGAACUUAAGCAUAUCAAUAAGCGGAGGAAAAGAAACUAACAAGGAUUCCCCUAGUAACUGCGAGUGAAGCGGGAAAAGCUCAAAUUUAAAAUCUGGCGGUCUCUGACUGUCCGAGUUGUAAACUAGAGAAGUGUUAUCCGUGCUGGACCAUGUAUAAGUCUCCUGGAACGGAGUGUCAUAGAGGGUGAGAAUCCCGUCUUUGACAUGGACUACCAGUGCAUUGUGAUAUGCUCUCAAAGAGUCGAGUUGUUUGGGAAUGCAGCUCAAAAUGGGUGGUAAAUUCCAUCUAAAGCUAAAUAUUGGCGAGAGACCGAUAGCGAACAAGUACCGUGAGGGAAAGAUGAAAAGAACUUUGGAAAGAGAGUUAAACAGUACGUGAAAUUGUUGAAAGGGAAACGCUUGAAGUCAGUCGCAUUGUCUGGAGAUCAACCUUGCAAUUGCAAGGUGUACUCUCUAGUUGAUGGGUCAGCAUCAAUUUUGAUCAUUGGAAAAAGGUCAGGGGAAUGUGGCAUCCUUGGAUGUGUUAUAGCCCUUGGUUGUAUACAGUGGUUGGGAUUGAGGAACUCGGCACUUUGUGCUAGGAUG
rnacentral:rRNA from 1 species